UGCAGUCGAGCGACAGAUAAGGAGCUUGCUCCUUUGACGUUAGCGGCGGACGGGUGAGUAACACGUGGAUAACCUACCUAUAAGACUGGGAUAACUUCGGGAAACCGGAGCUAAUACCGGAUAACAUAUUGAACCGCAUGGUUCAAUAGUGAAAGGCGGCUUUGCUGUCACUUAUAGAUGGAUCCGCGCCGUAUUAGCUAGUUGGUAAGGUAACGGCUUACCAAGGCAACGAUACGUAGCCGACCUGAGAGGGUGAUCGGCCACACUGGAACUGAGACACGGUCCAGACUCCUACGGGAGGCAGCAGUAGGGAAUCUUCCGCAAUGGGCGAAAGCCUGACGGAGCAACGCCGCGUGAGUGAUGAAGGUCUUCGGAUCGUAAAACUCUGUUAUCAGGGAAGAACAAAUGUGUAAGUAACUGUGCACAUCUUGACGGUACCUGAUCAGAAAGCCACGGCUAACUACGUGCCAGCAGCCGCGGUAAUACGUAGGUGGCAAGCGUUAUCCGGAAUUAUUGGGCGUAAAGCGCGCGUAGGCGGUUUUUUAAGUCUGAUGUGAAAGCCCACGGCUCAACCGUGGAGGGUCAUUGGAAACUGGAAAACUUGAGUGCAGAAGAGGAAAGUGGAAUUCCAUGUGUAGCGGUGAAAUGCGCAGAGAUAUGGAGGAACACCAGUGGCGAAGGCGACUUUCUGGUCUGUAACUGACGCUGAUGUGCGAAAGCGUGGGGAUCAAACAGGAUUAGAUACCCUGGUAGUCCACGCCGUAAACGAUGAGUGCUAAGUGUUAGGGGGUUUCCGCCCCUUAGUGCUGCAGCUAACGCAUUAAGCACUCCGCCUGGGGAGUACGACCGCAAGGUUGAAACUCAAAGGAAUUGACGGGGACCCGCACAAGCGGUGGAGCAUGUGGUUUAAUUCGAAGCAACGCGAAGAACCUUACCAAAUCUUGACAUCCUUUGACCGCUCUAGAGAUAGAGUCUUCCCCUUCGGGGGACAAAGUGACAGGUGGUGCAUGGGUUGUCGUCAGCUCGUGUCG
rnacentral:rRNA from 1 species